CGCAAAACUACCCACUAAUAAAUCCCCUGGACCGGACGGUCUCACAAACAACUACUAUAAAUUAUUUGCAGCUACACUUUCCCUGCACCUAUUAAAACUGUACAGACAGAGCAGUGAAAGAGGAGCCUUACCGGCAGAAAUACUCCUGGCCCAUAUUUCCACCCUCCCUAAGCCCGGGAAACCACCGACCCACUGCAAGAAUUUCAGAGCUAUA